rnacentral:rRNA from 1 species
AGAGUUUGAUCCUGGCUCAGGACGAACGCUGGCGGCGUGCCUAACACAUGCAAGUCGAACGAAGUAAGUUGCUUCACCAAAUGUUGAAAAGCUACCCCAAGCGCAUUUGCCCGAGGGGAGCGAAAAAUAAUUAAGUAUCAAUGAGAUGGUGAAACAACAAGGUAUGGAUAGAGAGAAGCAAAUGCGCUUCACGCUAUUUCCAAGUGCCAACACCAUAUAUACCAAUUCAAUAUUUGGUGAAGUAACUUACUUAGUGGCGGACGGGUGAGUAACGCGUGAAUAAUCUGCCCCAUACAGGGGGAUAGCCUCGGGAAACCGGGAUUAAAACCGCAUGACACUUUUUUAUCGCAUGAUAGAAAAGUCAAAUCGAUUAAGAGGUAUGGGAUGAGUUCGCGUCUGAUUAGCUGGUUGGCGGGGUAAGAGCCCACCAAGGCGACGAUCAGUAGCCGGCCUGAGAGGGUGACCGGCCACACUGGAACUGAGACACGGUCCAGACUCCUACGGGAGGCAGCAGUGGGGAAUAUUGCACAAUGGGGGAAACCCUGAUGCAGCGACGCCGCGUGAGUGAAGAAGGUCUUCGGGUCGUAAAACUCUGUCCUUGGUGACGAAAGAAAUGACGGUAACCAAGGAGGAAGCCCCGGCUAACUACGUGCCAGCAGCCGCGGUAAUACGUAGGGGGCGAGCGUUGUCCGGAUUUACUGGGCGUAAAGGGUGAGUAGGCGGUCAUAUAAGUCAGGUGUAAAAGGCUAAGGCUUAACCAUAGUUAGCACUUGAAACUGUAUGACUUGAGUGCAGGAGAGGUAAGCGGAAUUCCUAGUGUAGCGGUGA